rnacentral:rRNA from 1 species
GAGUGCGCGUGUCGUAGCAAUACGGCAUGGCGCACGGCGCACGGGUGCGUAACACGUGGGUAACCUGCCCUUUGGUGGGGAAUAACUCCGGGAAACCGAAGCUAAUUCCGCAUAAGAUCCGCAAGGAUGAAAGCCGUAAGGCGCCGAUGGAGGGGCCCGCGCCCGAUUAGCUAGUUGGCGAGGUAAUGGCUCACCAAGGCUUUGAUCGGUAGCUGGUCUGAGAGGAUGGCCAGCCACACUGGAACUGAGACACGGUCCAGACUCCUACGGGAGGCAGCAGUGGGGAAUCUUGCGCAAUGGGCGAAGGCCUGACGCAGCGACGCCGCGUGGGGGAUGAAGCUUCUCGGAGUGUAAACCCCUUUCGACUGGGACGAAUACCUCGCAAGAGGGGUGACGGUACCAGUAGAAGAAGCCCCGGCUAACUACGUG